rnacentral:lncRNA from 1 species
UGUAAUACAAUUGAUGAGACUACUUUUCCUUUUAAUUUGGCUCGUCAUUGAAGUGCCGUAAAAUAUAUAGGGUUCCUACAAAGAAAAACUAAACACAAACUAUAUAUAAAAUAAAACAAAAUCCUAAUUAGUCUAACUAAAAAAAUAAAAAUCAUCCAAAAUUAAAAUAAGUCUUAAAAAUAUAAACCCAAAUAAAACUUAAAAAUGUAUAGAAUUACUUGAAAUCAGGUUCCAACUCUUCCAUCAUUGGUGCUUUGCCCCUUUCGCGCCC